UUCAAAUAAAAAAGAAAAAGAAAAAAUUAAUGAGACGUAUUCGAGUUUUUCUCUAACCUGGACGGAGCACGAAGAAAAGAGGAAGAGAAAGUGAGAGAGAAUCAGGUCGUUGCUAGCAAUCGGAGGCAAAGAAAGGUUAGCACCAUUUGAAUCGAAGAUGGAGAGAAGCAACCUCAAGUCUCCGAUUAAGGAUUCGAGAAGGUUCGCACUUUUUGGAAAUCGGCAGUGGUUGUGUGGCGAAAACCUGGUGGAGAACACUGUUGUGCUUUCGCUUACAGACCAAAGUGAGGGCACGAUCAAAAUUCCAACACAAAAGAAGCAUUUCGACUACAUUGUCCUCGGGGCAUGGAAAUAGGAGAAACUAUGAUUUGAAGCUCAGUCCAAUGGGAUUCCUUAUAAAAGGAGGUUUGUCAUCAUCCUAUGAUUGUUGCUUGCCACUGUGAGGGUAAAGGAUGGAAAUUUUGGGGUGAUAGCAAUUUGAAGAGUAAAUUUUAGGGUCACUCAAUUCAGCUUGAUCAUGCUGUUCUUUUAACGGUGGAAUUUAACGACAGAGAAAUCUUUCAAUGGAGUAAGGUUACAACAUCAAUUAACAACCUUAUAUUGGGAAAGCUCUAUUGUGACCACCGUGGUACAAUGCAUAUACAAGGGAAUCAUAACUAUUCUUGCAAGCUGAAAUUCAAGGAGCAAUCUAUCAUUGACCAAAAUCCUCACCAGGUACAUGGUUUAGUUCAAGAUAGAAAUGGAAAAAUGAUAGCAAUACUAUUUGGAAAAUGGGAUGAGAGCAUGCAUUAUGUGA